rnacentral:rRNA from 1 species
UAUGAAGUCGGAAUUGCUAGUAAUCGCGGAUCAGCAUGCCGCGGUGAAUACGUUCCCGGGCCUUGUACACACCGCCCGUCACACCAUGAGAGCCGGGAACACCCGAAGUCCGUAGUCUAACCGCAAGGAGGACGCGGCCGAAGGUGGGUUUGGUAAUUGGGGUGAAGUCGUAACAAGGUACC